UUAUCUUUGAUUCUUCGGAUGAAGAGGUUUGUGACUGAGUGGCGGACGGGUGAGUAACGCGUGGGUAACCUGCCUCAUACAGGGGGAUAACAGUUAGAAAUGACUGCUAAUACCGCAUAAGACCACGGAGCCGCAUGGCUCCGUGGGAAAAACUCCGGUGGUAUGAGAUGGACCCGCGUCUGAUUAGGUAGUUGGUGGAGUAACGGCCUACCAAGCCGACGAUCAGUAGCCGACCUGAGAGGGUGACCGGCCACAUUGGGACUGAGACACGGCCCAAACUCCUACGGGAGGCAGCAGUGGGGAAUAUUGCACAAUGGGGGAAACCCUGAUGCAGCGACGCCGCGUGAGCGAAGAAGUAUUUCGGUAUGUAAAGCUCUAUCAGCAGGGAAGAAAAUGACGGUACCUGACUAAGAAGCACCGGCUAAAUACGUGCCAGCAGCCGCGGUAAUACGUAUGGUGCAAGCGUUAUCCGGAUUUACUGGGUGUAAAGGGAGCGUAGACGGCUGUGUAAGUCUGAAGUGAAAGCCCGGGGCUCAACCCCGGGACUGCUUUGGAAACUAUGCAGCUAGAGUGUCGGAGAGGUAAGUGGAAUUCCCAGUGUAGCGGUGAAAUGCGUAGAUAUUGGGAGGAACACCAGUGGCGAAGGCGGCUUACUGGACGAUGACUGACGUUGAGGCUCGAAAGCGUGGGGAGCAAACAGGAUUAGAUACCCUGGUAGUCCACGCUGUAAACGAUGACUACUAGGUGUCGGG
rnacentral:rRNA from 1 species